GACGAACGCUGGCGGCGUGCUUAACACAUGCAAGUCGAACGGAAAGGCCCUGCUUUUGUGGGGUGCUCGAGUGGCGAACGGGUGAGUAACACGUGAGUAACCUGCCCUUGACUUUGGGAUAACUUCAGGAAACUGGGGCUAAUACCGGAUAGGAGCUCCUGCUGCAUGGUGGGGGUUGGAAAGUUUCGGCGGUUGGGGAUGGACUCGCGGCUUAUCAGCUUGUUGGUGGGGUAGUGGCUUACCAAGGCUUUGACGGGUAGCCGGCCUGAGAGGGUGACCGGCCACAUUGGGACUGAGAUACGGCCCAGACUCCUACGGGAGGCAGCAGUGGGGAAUAUUGCACAAUGGGCGGAAGCCUGAUGCAGCAACGCCGCGUGCGGGAUGACGGCCUUCGGGUUGUAAACCGCUUUCGCCUGUGACGAAGCGUGAGUGACGGUAAUGGGUAAAGAAGCACCGGCUAACUACGUGCCAGCAGCCGCGGUGAUACGUAGGGUGCGAGCGUUGUCCGGAUUUAUUGGGCGUAAAGGGCUCGUAGGUGGUUGAUCGCGUCGGAAGUGUAAUCUUGGGGCUUAACCCUGAGCGUGCUUUCGAUACGGGUUGACUUGAGGAAGGUAGGGGAGAAUGGAAUUCCUGGUGGAGCGGUGGAAUGCGCAGAUAUCAGGAGGAACACCAGUGGCGAAGGCGGUUCUCUGGGCCUUUCCUGACGCUGAGGAGCGAAAGCGUGGGGAGCGAACAGGCUUAGAUAACCCGGUAGUCCACCCUGUAAAACGGUGGGUCCUAGGUGUGGGGUCCAUUCCACGGGUUCCGUGCCGUAGCAAACGCUUUAAGUACCCCGCCUGGGGAGUACGGCCGCAAGGCUAAAACUCAAAGGAAUUGACGGGGCCCCGCACAAGCGGCGGAGCAUGCGGAUUAAUUCGAUGCAACGCGUAGAACCUUACCUGGGUUUGACAUGGAUCGGGAGUGCUCAGAGAUGGGUGUGCCUCUUUUGGGGUCGGUUCACAGGUGGUGCAUGGCUGUCGUCAGCUCGUGUCGUGAGAUGUUGGGUUAAGUCCCGCAACGAGCGCAACCCUUGUUCACUGUUGCCAGCACGUUAUGGUGGGGACUCAGUGGAGACCGCCGGGGUCAACUCGGAGGAAGGUGGGGAUGACGUCAAGUCAUCAUGCCCCUUAUGUCCAGGGCUUCACGCAUGCUACAAUGGCUGGUACAGAGAGUGGCGAGCCUGUGAGGGUGAGCGAAUCUCGGAAAGCCGGUCUCAGUUCGGAUUGGGGUCUGCAACUCGACCUCAUGAAGUCGGAGUCGCUAGUAAUCGCAGAUCAGCAACGCUGCGGUAAAGACGUUCCCGGG
rnacentral:rRNA from 1 species